GAUGAACGCUGGCGGCGUGCCUAAUACAUGCAAGUCGAGCGAACAGACGAGGAGCUUGCUCCUCUGACGUUAGCGGCGGACGGGUGAGUAACACGUGGAUAACCUACCUAUAAGACUGGGAUAACUUCGGGAAACCGGAGCUAAUACCGGAUAAUAUAUUGAACCGCAUGGUUCAAUAGUGAAAGACGGUUUUGCUGUCACUUAUAGAUGGAUCCGCGCCGCAUUAGCUAGUUGGUAAUGUAACGGCUUACCAAGGCAACGAUGCGUAGCCGACCUGAGAGGGGAGUCGGCCACACUGGAACUGAGACACGGUCCAGACUCCUACGGGAGGCAGCAGUAGGGAAUCUUCCGCAAGGGGCGAAAGCCUGACGGAGCAACGCCGCGUGAGUGAUGAAGGUCUUCGGAUCGUAAAACUCUGUUAUUAGGGAAGAACAAAUGUGUAAGUAACUAUGCACGUCUUGACGGUACCUAAUCAGAAAGCCACGGCUAACUACGUG
rnacentral:rRNA from 1 species